rnacentral:misc_RNA from 1 species
GGCGGGAACAGACGGCCCCGUGAAACGGGCCGCCCCCGCCAGAGGACCCCUAACUCUGUUUCUAUAAUGUUUCUUCUGAGUAAAACAAGCAAAUAAAUUAAAACUUUCAACAACGGAUCUCUUGGCUCUGGCAUCGAUGAAGAACGCAGCGAAAUGCGAUAAGUAAUGUGAAUUGCAGAAUUCAGUGAAUCAUCGAAUCUUUGAACGCACAUUGCGCCCGCCAGUAUUCUGGCGGGCAUGCCUGUUCGAGCGUCAUUACAACCCUCAGGCCCCCGGGCCUGGCGUUGGGGAUCGGCGGAGCCCCCCGUGGGCACACGCCGUCUCCCAAAUACAGUGGCGGUCCCGCCGCAGCUUCCAUCGCGUAGUAGCUAACACCUCGCGACUGGAGAGCGGCGCGGCCACGCCGUAAAAC